GACGAACGCUGGCGGCGUGCUUAACACAUGCAAGUCGAGCGACGCUCUUCCUUCGGGGAGAUGACGGAGCGGCGAACGGGUGAGUAACACGUGGGCAACCUGCCCCUAGCUCUGGGACAACACCGGGAAACCGGUGCUAAUACCGGAUACGACAUCGAGCGGCAUCUCUCGAUGUGGAAAGUUUUUUCGGCUAGGGAUGGGCCCGCGGCCUAUCAGCUUGUUGGUGGGGUAAUGGCCCACCAAGGCGACGACGGGUAGCCGGCCUGAGAGGGCGACCGGCCACACUGGGACUGAGACACGGCCCAGACUCCUACGGGAGGCAGCAGUGGGGGAUAUUGCGCAAUGGGCGAAAGCCUGACGCAGCGACGCCGCGUGAGGGAUGACGGCCUUCGGGUUGUAAACCUCUUUCAGCAGGGACGAAUUCAGACGGUACCUGCAGAAGAAGCACCGGCCAACUACGUG
rnacentral:rRNA from 1 species